rnacentral:rRNA from 1 species
UGGCGAACGGGUGAGUAACACGUGGGUAACCUGCCCAUCAGAAGGGGAUAACACUUGGAAACAGGUGCUAAUACCGUAUAACACUAUUUUCCGCAUGGAAGAAAGUUGAAAGGCGCUUUUGCGUCACUGAUGGAUGGACCCGCGGUGCAUUAGCUAGUUGGUGAGGUAACGGCUCACCAAGGCAACGAUGCAUAGCCGACCUGAGAGAGUGAUCGGCCACACUGGGACUGAGACACGGCCCAGACUCCUACGGGAGGCAGCAGUAGGGAAUCUUCGGCAAUGGACGAAAGUCUGACCGAGCAAACGCCCGCGUGAGUGAAGAAAGGUUUUCGGAUCGUAAAAACUCUGUUGUUAGAGAAG